UACGUAGGGUGCAAGCGUUAAUCGGAAUUACUGGGCGUAAAGCGCGCGUAGGCGGCUUUGUAAGUUAGAGGUGAAAGCCCGAAGCUCAACUUCGGAAUUGCCUUUAAGACUGCAUCGCUAGAAUCAUGGAGAGGUGAGUGGAAAUUCCGAGUGUAGAGGUGAAAAUUCGUAGAUAUUCGGAGGAACACCAGUGGCGAAGGCGGCUCGCUGGACUGAUACUGACGCUGAGGUGCGAAAGCGUGGGGAGCAAACAGG
rnacentral:rRNA from 1 species